rnacentral:sRNA from 1 species
UUGCUAAAACGAGCAAAAAUAAACAGCAGUCUGUACCAGGAACCACCUCCUUCGCCCGCCCGGCUCCCCCGUGCGGGUUUUUCU